AGCGAACGCUGGCGGCAGGCCUAACACAUGCAAGUCGAACGAAGUCUUCGGACUUAGUGGCGGACGGGUGAGUAACACGUGGGAACGUGCCUUUAGGUUCGGAAUAACUCAGGGAAACUUGUGCUAAUACCGAAUGUGCCCUUCGGGGGAAAGAUUUAUCGCCUUUAGAGCGGCCCGCGUCUGAUUAGCUAGUUGGUGAGGUAAAGGCUCACCAAGGCGACGAUCAGUAGCUGGUCUGAGAGGAUGAUCAGCCACAUUGGGACUGAGACACGGCCCAAACUCCUACGGGAGGCAGCAGUGGGGAAUCUUGCGCAAUGGGCGAAAGCCUGACGCAGCCAUGCCGCGUGAAUGAUGAAGGUCUUGGGAUUGUAAAAUUCUUUCACCGGGGACGGUAAUGACGGUACCCGGAGAAGAAGCCCCGGCUAACUUCGUGCCAGCCGCCGCCGUAAAAC
rnacentral:rRNA from 1 species